rnacentral:rRNA from 1 species
GGCUCAGGAUGAACGCUAGCUACAGGCUUAACACAUGCAAGUCGAGGGGCAGCAUGAACAUAGCUUGCUAUGUUUGAUGGCGACCGGCGCACGGGUGCGUAACACGUAUCCAAUCUACCCAUGGCUCGGGGAUAGCCUUUCGAAAGAAAGAUUAAUACCCGAUGGUCUCGGUUUAAGGCAUCUUAGACUGAGUAAAGAUUUAUCGGUGACGGAUGAGGAUGCGUACGAUUAGCUAGUUGGCGGGGUAACGGCCCACCAAGGCGACGAUCGUUAGGGGUUCUGAGAGGAAGGUCCCCCACACUGGAACUGAGACACGGUCCAGACUCCUACGGGAGGCAGCAGUGAGGAAUAUUGGUCAAUGGGCGGGAGCCUGAACCAGCCAAGUAGCGUGAAGGAUGACUGCCCUACGGGUUGUAAACUUCUUUUGUUUGGGAAUAAAAGACGCUACGUGUAGCGUUGUGCAUGUACCUUACGAAUAAGCAUCGGCUAAUUCCGUG